rnacentral:rRNA from 1 species
GGUCCAGACACAGUGAGGAUUGACAGAUUGAGAGCUCUUUCUUGAUUCUGUGGGUGGUGGUGCAUGGCCGUUCUUAGUUGGUGGAGUGAUUUGUCUGCUUAAUUGCGAUAACGAACGAGACCUUAACCUGCUAAAUAGCCCGUACUGCUUUGGCAGUUCGCCGGCUUCUUAGAGGGACUAUCGGCUCAAGCCGAUGGAAGUUUGAGGCAAUAACAGGUCUGUGAUGCCCUUAGAUGUCCUGGGCCGCACGCGCGUUACACUGACAGAGCCAGCGAGUAUUUCCUUGGCCGGAAGGCCCGGGUAAUCUUGUUAAACUCUGUCGUGCUGGGGAUAGAGCAUUGCAAUUAUUGCUCUUCAACGAGGAAUCCCUAGUAAGCGCAAGUCAUCAGCUUGCGUUGAUUACGUCCCUGCCCUUUGUACACACCGCCCGUCGCUACUACCGAUUGAAUGGCUCAGUGAGGCCUCCGGACUGGCCCAGAGAGGUGGGCAACUACCACUCAGGGCCGGAAAGUUGUCCAAACUCGGUCAUUUAGAGGAAGUAAAAGUCGUAACAAGG